rnacentral:lncRNA from 1 species
CUUGUGUUUUCCAGACUGUCAUAUGGAUGAAAACAUAAAAUAUGCUGUGGGGUUUGACUUCUUUUACUUAGCAAUAUGCCUUUAAGAUUUAUCCCUGUUGUUGAAAGAUUCAAUGAGCAAUUUACUAGUAGAUGGAAGACUUAGGAUUUUUUUUUUCUUUGUUUCUGGUACCAUGUAAGAAUACCCCCAUUCUCACCCAGCACUUUAAUAAAUACAUGAUUUUAGGGAGGAACCCUAAAAUGUGACUAAUUUUUAAUUUUUUGCCACCCUGGCAAGUGAGGGUUUGCAGAUACUAAUAUAGGGAGUGAGGAUAUAGCAGUAAAAGAAAAAAGU